rnacentral:sRNA from 1 species
CAUUUAAUUACACACACGUAUCAACACUCGAUUAUGGGUGCUUGUUUUUUACCAGAGAAACAGGUCGUAAUCGCUGGAUAUGUGGAGGCUUAAC